CCGGGGCGAAGGAACUGAAGACGUCGGAAUUCGCCGACGCCAUGAUUUCGCACAUGUAGUUCGUCGGAGCGCAGGGGCGUCAGCCCCUGCGUCCCAACAGGAGAGAGAACGUCAUGAAUCGCAAA
rfam:Acidobacteria bacterium SCN 69-37 ABS36_C0009, whole genome shotgun sequence.